rnacentral:tRNA from 1 species
GGAGAGAUGGCUCAGUGGUUAAGAGCACUGGAUGCUACUCCAGAUGACCAGAGUUUGAGUCUCAGCAUCUACA